UACGGAGAUGGCAAGCGUUGUUCGGAACCAUUGGGCGUAAAGGGCGCGUAGGCGGUAAUGUAAGUCGGUUGUGAAAUCCCCCGGCUCAACCGGGGAAUGGCUUUCGAAACUGCAUUGCUUGAGUGCGAGAGGGGAGAGCGGAACUUCUGGUGGAGCGGUGAAAUGCGUAGAUAUCAGAAGGAACGCCGGAGGCGAAAGCGACUCUCUGGCUCGCAACUGACGCUGAGGCGCGAAAGCUAGGGGAGCAAAUGGG
rnacentral:rRNA from 1 species